GACGUAGGGCGCGAGCGUGUCCGGAUUUAUUGGGCGUAAAGAGCUCGUAGGCGGCUUGUCGCGUCGACUGUGAAAACUCGGGGCUCAACUCCGAGCUUGCAGUCGAUACGGGCAGGCUAGAGUUCGGUAGGGGAGACUGGAAUUCCUGGUGUAGCGGUGAAAUGCGCAGAUAUCAGGAGGAACACCGGUGGCGAAGGCGGGUCUCUGGGCCGAUACUGACGCUGAGACGCGAAAGCGUGGGGAGCAAACAGG
rnacentral:rRNA from 1 species